GGAUUGCCUCAGUAACGGCGAGUGAAGCGGCAAUAGCUCAAAUUUUAAAUCUGGCGCCCGCCCGAGUUGUAAUUUGUAGAGGUGGCUUCGGAGCCGCGCCGGCCUAAGUUCCUUGGAACAGGACGUCACAGAGGGUGAGAAUCCCGUACGUGGCUGGGCGCCUAUCCAUGUGUAGCCCCUUCGACGAGUCGAGUUGUUUGGGAAUGCAGCUCUAAAUGGGAGGUAAAUUUCUUCUAAAGCUAAAUACCAGCCAGAGACCGAUAGCGCACAAGUAGAGUGAUCGAAAGAUGAAAAGCACUUUGAAAAGAGAGUUAAAAAGUACGUGAAAUUGUUGAAAGGGAAGCGUUUGUAGCCAGACCUGACUGUAGUUGCUCAACCGGUCUCUGCCCGGUGCACUCUUCUAUAGUUAGGCCAGCAUCAGUUCGGGCAGCCGGAUAAAGGCUUGGGGAAUGUGGCUCCUCGGAGUGUUAUAGCCCCUCGCACAAUGCGGCUUGCCCGGACUGAGGGAAGCAUUCUAUGGAUGCUGGCUUAAUGGCUGCCAACGGCCCGUCUUGAAACACGGACCAAGGAGUCUAACAUCUAUGCGAGUGUUUGGGUGUCAAACCCGUGCGCGUAAUGAAAGUGAACGGAGGUGGGAGCAUUUUUGCGCACCAUCGACCGAUCCUGAUGUCUUCGGAAGGAUUUGAGUAUGAGCAUAGCUGUUGGGACCCGAAAGAUGGUGAACUAUGCCUGAAUAGGGUGAAGCCAGAGGAAACUCUGGUGGAGGCUCGCAGCGGUUCUGACGUGCAAAUCGAUCGUCAAAUUUGGGUAUAGGGGCGAAAGACUAAUCGAACCAUCUAGUAGCUG
rnacentral:rRNA from 1 species